GAGAGAGAGAGCUACAUUGAAAAAAAACCAGUUGGGUGGUGCAAGAACUAGUGUUCAUAGGUCGAGUCAUGGCAAUGGCGCUCUCUUAAGCUGCCCCAGCCCUUGCUUUCUUCCAUGGUAGAGUUCCUACUCAUACAGUAGAGUGAAGCCCUUCCCUCUCAUGGUUUCAGAGUGAUAGCUCGUAGGUUGAAGACUGGCGGUUGGCUGAUCGAGGCUGACGAUUGGAGCCUCGAACUUGACGAGGAAACUUCCUUUUGAUUGUAGGUGUUAGAUGGCAGUUGGCCACAUAGUUGUUUUUCUUUGAAGCUAUGUAUUUUGUUGUUAGGCCUUUGGUUGCCUGGAUAAUUUGUAAACACUUGGAAAAUUGUAUAUUAUCCGGUUUUAGUUUAUCC